rnacentral:rRNA from 1 species
CACCGCGGUUAUACGGGUAGACCCAAGCUGACAGCCGCCGGCGUAAAGAGUGGUUAGAUUUAAAAUAAACUAAAGCCGAACAACCCCAAAGCUGUUAUACGCACUCGGGAGUUAGAAGACCCUCUACGAAGGUAGCUUUAUACUAUUGAACCCACGAAAGCUAGGAAA